CCCAGACUCCUACGGGAGGCAGCAGUGGGGAAUAUUGCACAAUGGGGGAAACCCUGAUGCAGCGACGCCGCGUGAGUGAAGAAGUAUUUCGGUAUGUAAAGCUCUAUCAGCAGGGAAGAAAAUGACGGUACCUGAUUAAGAAGCCCCGGCUAACUACGUGCCAGCAGCCGCGGUAAUACGUAGGGGGCAAGCGUUAUCCGGAUUUACUGGGUGUAAAGGGAGCGUAGACGGCAGCACAAGUCUGGAGUGAAAUGCCGGGGCUUAACCCCGGAACUGCUUUGGAAACUGUGCAGCUAGAGUGCAGGAGAGGGGAGCGGAAUUCCUAGUGUAGCGGUGAAAUGCGUAGAUAUUAGGAGGAACACCAGUGGCGAAGGCGGCUCACUGGACUGUAACUGACGUUGAGGCUCGAAAGCGUGGGGAGCAAACAGGAUUAGAUACCCUGGUAGGA
rnacentral:rRNA from 1 species